rnacentral:lncRNA from 1 species
GUGGAAUGAAAUAAAAUCCACACCAAAAUAAAACCCAUAACAGAACCGUGUUGACCUAGAGACUCCAGGACUUCAGGAGGAAUUUGCAGGCAAUUUUGUGGCUCCUCUCCUUUGCCUCAGCUCCAACCACAGCCUCAGCACUAAUAAAUGUAUUUACAAGUGGUUUUUGCUCACUCCAUUGAAUCAGCGUGCCCAGGGUGAGUUUCCAGGUCCUGACUUCCCCCUGGGAUUUUGGGAAGGGGCUGGCUGCUGGCUGAGGUCUCUGAUUUAAUCACUCAACCUUACCCUUCUCCUUCAUUUGCAAACCCACAAGGGCGUGUGAAGAGUUUGAGUCAUCUCUGAGUCAGCUCCUCUGAGCACACAGAACCCGAGGCCAGCAGCUGCAGAAAGGGAAUUUUUCUGGAUGAUGGAGAAGGAACCAUCCUGGCACGAAAGGUCUCAGGCUCCAGGCACGGAUGACGCCGUCAGGAUUCAGAGGAAGAAGCUGACACUGAGCAGACAGAAUCCUGUGUUUGAAUGGAAUUUAUGCAUCAUGGAUGAAUAUUCAACAGGUUAUUGUUUUUAAGGGUUAAUCCUUUGUUAAUGUGGGUCCUUUUUCAGGCUUGUGCUGCCCAGAAAAGGUACCUGGACUGCCCAUAACUCUUUGUUUCUAUUGUCUCACAUUGUUCUAAUUCAAAUUGUCCAAAUUAUUAUUACUCUAAUUGUAUUACUAUUUUUAUAACCAUUUUGUUACUAUUAAACUUUUAAACUUUUAAAAACAAGUGAUUGGUGUUUUUCACAACAGAUAUCUUAGAAACAGAGAAUGGUUUGGGCAUAGGGAACCCUUCAACACAAACCAUGAACCAAACCCCUCGGGCUUGUGGAGGGACCUUAAAGAUGGUCUGGUUCCAAACCCUCACUAUGGGGGUUGAUUUGAUCUUAAUAUGAUUGGAAAGGUUGUGAGAGCAGGGUGCUCAGGGGAAGGGUGAAAUGGUGGGGCAGGAAAGAUCCACAAGUUUUUGGGAUAAGAACCACUCAGGGGUGGCUACAGGCUGAUAUAUAAAAUAAAUAUAUGUGUGUGUGUGUGUAAAUAUAUAUA